UUUUCAGAGUCCAUGUUCAUGAUCAGUCCUGAGGUUGAGUCCUACAGACGACCACCACCUGCAGGCCGUUCUAAGAUGUUUCGAGCUAAACGCAAAGUGAUGUUGAAAGGCCCUGCAGGAAUACAUCUCCAGGGUUACAGAAAUCAGUGACAUGACGCCGAGGAAGAGAUCCCAAAGAUGCUGACAUCAGGAGACUGAAAUAAAGAAUUUUUGUUC